GACGAACGCUGGCGGCGUGCUUAACACAUGCAAGUCGAGCGGUAAGGCCCCUUCGGGGGUACACGAGCGGCGAACGGGUGAGUAACACGUGGGUGACCUGCCCUCAGCUCUGGGAUAAGCCUGGGAAACUGGGUCUAAUACCGGAUAUGACUCCAUGACGCAUGUCGUGGGGUGGAAAGCCUUGUGCGGCUGGGGAUGGGCCCGCGGCCUAUCAGCUUGUUGGUGGGGUGAUGGCCACCAAGGCGACGACGGGUAGCCGGCCUGAGAGGGCGACCGGCCACACUGGGACUGAGACACGGCCCAGACUCCUACGGGAGGCAGCAGUGGGGAAUCUUGCGCAAUGGGCGAAAGCCUGACGCAGCGACGCCGCGUGAGGGAUGACGGCCU
rnacentral:rRNA from 1 species